UUGGUCAUAAAAGUGUAUAAAAGUGUGGGAGACUAAUAAGAUGAUACAACCGUAUUUUAACAAGCAGCACAUUAAAAAUAUUAAUUGCUGCCCAUCAUCUAUCCAACAGAGCAACAACACAACAUUCUUUCUUGUGAUUUAGAUCAAAUGCAUAAGAAAAAAAUCUUCAGAUUUGUAGCAUAUUAGAAAACUGAAAACCUGAAUAAUAGAUAACCUGCAGUUAGAAGUCAUUCACAGCUUAUCCUAAUGAAAAAACAAACCAAAACCAACCAAACAAAACCCCCUACGUUUUACAUGAAAGCUGCCAUUUCUUUCCAAAUAAACUAAUAAAAGUGAGUCUUUCUUCAGGAGCUCACCCUGAAGAACCCCGCCCCAACAAACCGAGCCAUGGCAGCCUGAAGCAGCCCCUCACGCAGCUUGCCUGGGACAAAAUGGCUCCAGGUUCACCAGGCCCACGCAGGCAGCCAGUGAUCAACUGCUCACACACUGAAAUGAAGAUGCCUGCUUCUCUCACUGGCGCCCCAGAUAAUUACCAGAUCUCCACCCAAAACACAGUAUUUACAAACACAAUGUCUCCACACACAGCAACAGCAGCAGCAGGGGGAGGCUGCCCACUCACACCAACAAAAUGGCAUCUGGGUGGGGGUAUCUCCUCAGGUGGGUGCCCAGCACCUUCACCCAGCCACCCUUAGCAUUUCCCUGGCCCUAUGGAGAUCGAGGCUUUCAGGAAGUCCCAACCCACCUGCAGCAGGACCUCUGCUUUGGGGGACGCUCCAGGGCUCCAUGGCAAGCCCUCACAGGCGGCUCACUGAGAUCCACACUGCCCCCUCGCAGGUGGCAACCCAGCCCCAGGGCUGAGGGGUUGCGCUGGGGCAGGCGAGCUCCUGGCUCCAAGUCUGCCUGGGCCCUGCCAGGCCCUCGCCUAGGCUGAGGGGAAAACGAAGGUGCUGGGGAAACGUGGAAGCCUUGUAGAAGAUAGCCAAAUUAACAACCACCUUCCUGUCUUCAGAAAGGGAGGGAGUCCCCCUGUGUGAGGGAAGCGGGCAAGCAAGGUCCUGAGGAGAAGUGCAGAGGUAAUGGCUUGGUGCACAGGCUGGAGCUGCUGGUCAAUCAGGCUCUUAAUUUUAAUUUUCAUGUUGGCUGUUGAGGUGGUGUUUUCACUUAAAGCUCAUCAUCAUCACCUGUGUCUCCUAAAAUGGUCCUCCAUGUUUUUAUGCUGAUGUGUGCUUGGUGUCAAGCUGACAUUAGUUUUACUGAGCAUGAAGGUCUCAUGAACUUGUUGAUUAAUUAGGUUCUCUUUAAACAUUUCUUGUGUUUGGAUAUCCAUGAGAUCUUAAAAACUUUGAAACAGUAUUUUGGAGAUAUAUGCUCCCUUUUGGCUGUGAUCAAAGCUUGCCAAUCGACUGAAGAAGUUAUUAUUGUAUGUACAAUUAAAUUCUUUACACAAACUAUGCUGAAAAGUUUGUGUUAAGGCCUUCUUGGCCAGAUAUGGUUUCUCAGCAGUUGAUGAAGGAGGGGAGGGAGGGCAGGAGGAAAGGACAACAGACAACUGGAAAGAAAGAAAAAAUAAUGCACUGAGUUCUUGCUGUGGAGAAGAAGAGCAUCUGCUGAGAGCAUGAGAGGGACUAGUUACUGUGGUUCCCAUGCCUGAAUAAAAUGGUGGUGAUACACAAAUGUGAACAUCAGUAGAUACAAAUGAAGAUGCCAUUUAAAACGUGCAUGGCAUGGCUCAAGUGAAACAAUUUCAAAUUCAAAUAAAAUCAUUACAAGUCCUGGUGCAGCUGUCCAGAAAUCUGCAGCUCUGCAAGUGGGCAGCAGGCUAUGGAUAAGAACCACAAAGGCUGAGCUGUGCAUAUUUUAAGGGGAAAAAUUGCACAUGUCUGUAAGACUCCACUAAUAUCUAUUUUGUAGAAGGAUUUAAGAGACAAUCACCCAUCUGCCAAAAUAUGCAUGCUGUCUUUAACCAUGUUUCUGCAGAAUGAAGAAAAAACAUCAGAAGGAACUUUAAAGAAAAAGUAUACAAGGUUGUCAACUGUAUUUCUCAAUUACUUAUUAAGAAAUCUGUCCAAGACAAAUGAUUAAGAGGAAGGAAUAUGCAAUGAAUGUGAACAUACAUUUUAUGAUAUGUGUAAUUUUGGAACUAGACUGAGUGGUUGUGACUUGCAAGGUCACUGAGACACCUGUGAGAGGGGAGGAUGCUUCACUUAAAUCCAUGAAAGCUGUUGCAUAAGUGUUGUUCAUAAAAUUAACUAAACUAAUUCAGCUCUGGCUUUGAUGAAAUAAUUCACUAUUUAAUUUUUGAGUAUGUAAAAUCAAUGCAUGUUUUUUCAUUUCAGCUGCAACAUUUUAUUAAAUACCCCUUACUGUAAGCUUGAUUUGUUGUAUAACCUGAGUUCUUAACUAUGUGGGGGAAGAUGAAAGAAAAAAUAACAAGUCAGCAGAGUUAAAUCCUUAUGCAGGUUACUUGGGUAAUUCAGAUCUGAGAACAAAGAAAACUAGAGUUCUGUGGAGUAUAUAUGACACUUGAUAUAUGUGCUGUAUAUGUAAGUUCCUUUAGGUUUGUAAGAGUUAAACUGAAGUAUAAUCAAAAGUUUUACUCUGCAUCAAUCUGUGAGAACCUGAGGUGAAAUUGGACCAAGUAAAGUAUUUGUGGAGUUAAUCCUCUUGUAUUCCCAUGCACCUUGCAUUUGG